AACGCACAUUGCGCCCGCCAGUAUUCUGGCGGGCAUGCCUGUUCGAGCGUCAUUUCAACCCUCAAGCCCUCGGGUUUGGUGUUGGGGAUCGGCGAGCCUUUCUGGCAAGCCGGCCCCGAAAUCUAGUGGCGGUCUCGCUGCAGCCUCCAUUGCGUAGUAGUAAAACCCUCGCAACUGGAACGCGGCGCGGCCAAGCCGUUAAACCCCCAACUUCUGAAUGUUGACCUCGGAUCAGGUAGGAAUACCCGCUGAACUUAA
rnacentral:misc_RNA from 3 species